rnacentral:rRNA from 1 species
AACGAACGCUGGCGGCAUGCCUAACACAUGCAAGUCGAGCGCCCGUAGCAAUACGGGAGCGGCGCACGGGUGAGUAGCGCGUGGGAACCUGCCCAGAGGUUCGGGACAACCGCGGGAAACUGCGGCUGAUACCGGAUGAUGCCUGAGGGCCAAAGAUUUAUCGCCUUUGGAGGGGCCCGCGUCGGAUUAGGUAGUUGGUGAGGUAACGGCUCACCAAGCCUGUGAUCCGAGCUGGUCUGAGAGGAUGAUCAGCCACACUGGGACUGAGACACGGCCCAGACUCCUACGGGAGGCAGCAGUGGGGAGUAUUGGACAAUGGGGGCGACCCUCGAUCCAGCAAUGCCGCGUGGGUGAUGAAGGCCUCGGUUG